CACGUCUCUUUGCAGCAGGAUUUAAUCAGACUUUUUCUUCCAGAUUCUGUUGAUUUUAUUAAAAUUUCUUAAACAACAGAAUCGCAGAUACACAUGUAAUACAUUUGUCGACACCAACACCCACUCUCCUUUUUUGGCAUCUGGCGAGACCAGCUUUAACGUGACUGUUAAAUUGUCCAUUUGAUUGAAUAAAAAACAAAUCAAGCACACCUGCAAACCAAACACACCCUUCAAUGAUAUUCACUUUCCCAGUUAAAUUCAACAAAAACGAAUAAACAACAAUACAAAAAAAAA
rnacentral:lncRNA from 1 species